rnacentral:rRNA from 1 species
GACGGAGGAUGCAAGUGUUAUCCGGAAUCACUGGGCGUAAAGCGUCUGUAGGUGGUCAAAUAAGUCAACUGUUAAAUCUUGAGGCUCAACCUCAAAACCGCAGUCGAAACUAUUAGACUAGAGUAUAGUAGGGGUAAAGGGAAUUUCCAGUGGAGCGGUGAAAUGCGUAGAGAUUGGAAAGAACACCGAUGGCGAAGGCACUUUACUGGGCUAUUACUAACACUCAGAGACGAAAGCUAGGGUAGCAAAUGGG